rnacentral:rRNA from 1 species
GAUGAACGCUGGCGGCGUGCCUAAUACAUGCAAGUCGAGCGAACAGACGAGGAGCUUGCUCCUCUGACGUUAGCGGCGGACGGGUGAGUAACACGUGGAUAACCUACCUAUAAGACUGGGAUAACUUCGGGAAACCGGAGCUAAUACCGGAUAAUAUAUUGAACCGCAUGGUUCAAUAGUGAAAGACGGUUUUGCUGUCACUUAUAGAUGGAUCCGCGCCGCAUUAGCUAGUUGGUAAGGUAACGGCUUACCACGGCAACGAUGCGUAGCCGACCUGAGAGGGGGAUCGGCCACACUGGAACUGAGACACGGACCAGACGCCUACGGGAGGCAGCAGUAGGGAAUCUUCCGCAAUGGGCGAAAGCCUGACGGAGCAACGCCGCGUGAGUGAUGAAGGUCUUCGGAUCGUAAAACUCUGUUAUUAGGGAAGAACAAAUGUGUAAGGAACUAUGCACGUCUUGACGGUACCUAAUCAGAAAGCCACGGCUAACUACGUG